GCACAUUCUGUGUUAGAUUGCUCAACCUGUCUGCUCCGCAGAAAGCCGCCUCCUUAACCACUACUUGCUUUCUUUUUUCGAGUUAGUCUACACCCAAAGCCACUGUCAGAUGUCACAGGGAUGAGACUUCACAAGGUUCUUACAAUCCCCAGCUCCCACAUACUUCAUAUUUCCUGCUUCUGGUGAAAAAAUACAAAAGCUCUAAUGCAUUUCAACUUGUCCAAAUGGGCCCUCAGUGUGGAAGAUGACUUUAGUUUCUCAAACAGAGAGAAAGGAUGGGGCAGUGGGAGAGAAUCUUCCAGACAGACUCCCGGCUGAGUGAAGAGCCCAGUUGCUGGGCUCAGUCCCACAACCCAUGAUAUCAUGACCUGAGCCAAACCAAGAGUGGGACGCUCAACCGACUGAGCCACCCAGAAAUCAUCUUGACUCCUAUGUAAAUUUGUGGAUAUCAUUGAAUGCCUGGGAGGAGGGGCCCAUCUGCUUCACCCAUCAAGAGCCUCUAAGAGAGAGAGAAAAACCACGAGCAGGGGGUGGAUCAGAUGGAAAAGGAGAAGCGGACUCCACACUGAGCAGGGAGCUUGAAGCAGGGCUCCAUCCAAGGACCCUGGGAUCAUGAUCUGAGCUGAAGGCAGAUGCUUAACCAACUGAGCCACUCAGUCUCAUGAGUUCCAGUAUCAUCAGUUCAGAAGCCUUUACUCCUAUAAAGAAGACGGGGAUUCAUGCUCUAACACCUUGGAAGGGAGGUGCAGACCACAUGCACUCACAUGCUGUCCCAAAGGACAGCACUCUCGUGAAGAAAACCUUGUGAAGAAAACCUUGUGAAGAGCUUUUGCCCUUUAACUAGAAAAAUGUGCCAAGACUGGAGCAGUAGCCCAGCACCCUGCAUCAUAGAGAAAGAAUCUGGCCACAGGAAAGGAUCUGAAGUCAUCAAAAACAUUCCCCCAAUACUCAGGACGUCAGAGAUGCUGUUCUCUCACAAGUUCACCAACAGUGAGGUAGUGACCGUCCUCUUCGCCGGCAAGGAUAUCAGCGAUAAUCUGUUCUGAAGGACUUCCUUCUC